AACGCGAAGAACCUUACCUGGGCUUGAACUACGGAUGGUAAGCUGUUGGAAACAGUGGCUGACCCGCAAGGGAGUCCGCAGAGGUGCUGCAUGGUUGUCGUCAGCUCGUGUCGUGAGAUGUUGGGUUAAGUCCCGCAACGAGCGCAACCCCUACUCGAUGUUGCUAAUCCCGCAAGGGAUGCACUCUUCGAGAACUGCCUUCGAUAAGAAGGAGGAAGGUGGGGACGACGUCAAAUCCUCAUGGCCCUUAUGUCCAGGGCUACACACGUGUUACAAUGGCCGGUACAAUGGGAAGCAAUGCCGUAAGGUGGAGCCAAACCCACAAAGCCGGCCCCAGUUCAGAUUGUGGGCUGCAACUCGCCCACAUGAAGGCGGAAUCGCUAGUAAUCGCUGAUCAGCAGGCAGCGGUGAAUACGUUCCCGGGCCUUGUA
rnacentral:rRNA from 1 species